rnacentral:rRNA from 1 species
GGUCAAGUUAUUAAGGGUGCAGGGCGGAUGCCUUGGCACUAGGAGCCGAUGAAGGACGUGAUAAGCUGCGAUAAGCUUCGGGGAGUUGCACGUAAACUUUGAUCCGAAGAUUUCCGAAUGAGGAAACUCACUUAGAGUAAUGUCUAAGUAUCAUUAAGUGAAUACAUAGCUUAAUGAGGGGAACUCAGGGAACUGAAACAUCUAAGUACCUGAAGGAAGAGAAAGAAAUUCGAUUCCGUAAGUAGCGGCGAGCGAACGCGGAUUAGCCCAAACCAAUAAAGUUUUCUUUAUUGGGGUUGCGGACAUAUCAUAACGAAGAGGUAUCGUAAUUGAAGAGGUUUGGAAAGACCCACCAC